AACGAACGCUGGCGGCAGGCCUAACACAUGCAAGUCGAGCGCGCCCUUCGGGGUGAGCGGCGGACGGGUGAGUAACGCGUGGGAACGUGCCCUUUUCUACGGAAUAGCCUCGGGAAACUGAGAGUAAUACCGUAUACGCCCUUUGGGGGAAAGAUUUAUCGGAAAAGGAUCGGCCCGCGUUGGAUUAGGUAGUUGGUGGGGUAAUGGCCUACCAGGCCGACGAUCCAUAGCUGGUUUGAGAGGAUGAUCAGCCACACUGGGACUGAGACACGGCCCAGACUCCUACGGGAGGCAGCAGUGGGGAAUCUUAGACAAUGGGGGCAACCCUGAUCUAGCCAUGCCGCGUGAGUGAUGAAGGCCUUAGGGUUGAAAAGCUCUUUCAGCUGGGAAGAUAAUGACGGUACCAGCAGAAGAAGCCCCGGCUAACUCCGUG
rnacentral:rRNA from 1 species